GGCCAGACUCCUACGGGAGGCAGCAGUGAGGGAUAUUGGUCAAUGGGGGAAACCCUGAACCAGCAACGCCGCGUGAGGGAAGACGGUUUUCGGAUUGUAAACCCCUGUCCUCUGUGAAGAUAAUGACGGUAGCAGAGGAGGAAGCUCCGGCUAACUACGUGCCAGCAGCCGCGGUAAUACGUAGGGGGCAAGCGUUAUCCGGAUUUACUGGGUGUAAAGGGAGCGUAGGCGGUUUAGCAAGUCAGAAGUGAAAGCCCGGGGCUCAACUCCGGGACUGCUCUUGGAACUGCGCGGCUGGAGUGCAGGAGGGGCAGGCGGAAUUCCUGGUGUAGCGGUGAAAUGCGUAGAUAUCAGGAGGAACACCGGUGGCGAAGGCGGCCUGCUGGACUGCGACUGACGUUGAGGCCCGAAAGCGUGGGGAGCAAACAGGAUUAGAUACCCCUGUA
rnacentral:rRNA from 1 species